GAUGAACGCUGGCGGCGUGCCUAAUACAUGCAAGUCGAGCGAACAGACGAGGAGCUUGCUCCUCUGACGUUAGCGGCGGACGGGUGAGUAACACGUGGAUAACCUACCUAUAAGACUGGGAUAACUUCGGGAAACCGGAGCUAAUACCGGAGAAUAUAUUGAACCGCAGGGUUCAAUAGUGAAAGACGGUUUUGCUGGCACUUAUAGAUGGAUCCGCGCCGCAUUAGCUAGUUGGUAAGGUAACGGCUUACCAAGGCGACGAUGCGUAGCCGACCUGAGAGGGUGAUCGGCCACACUGGAACUUAGCCACGGUCCAGACUCCUACGGGAGGCAGCAGUAGGGAAUCUUCCGCAAAGGGCGAAAGCCUGACGGAGCAACGCCGCGUGAGUGAUGAAGGUCUUCGGAUCGUAAAACUCUGUUACUAGGUAAGAACAAAUGUGUAAGUAACUAUGCACGUCUUGACGGUACCUAAUCAGAAAGCCACGGCUAACUACGUG
rnacentral:rRNA from 1 species